rnacentral:rRNA from 1 species
AACGAACGCUGGCGGCAUGCCUAAUACAUGCAAGUCGAACGAGAUCUUCGGAUCUAGUGGCGCACGGGUGCGUAACGCGUGGGAAUCUGCCCUUGGGUUCGGAAUAACAUCGGGAAACUGAUGCUAAUACCGGAUGAUGACGUAAGUCCAAAGAUUUAUCGCCCAGGGAUGAGCCCGCGUGAGAUUAGCUUGUUGGUGGGGUAAAGGCCUACCAAGGCGACGAUCUCUAGCUGGUCUGAGAGGAUGAUCAGCCACACUGGGACUGAGACACGGCCCAGACUCCUACGGGAGGCAGCAGUAGGGAAUAUUGGACAAUGGGGGCAACCCUGAUCCAGCAAUGCCGCGUGAGUGAUGAAGGCCUUAGGGUUGUAAAGCUCUUUUACCCGAGAUGAUAAUGACAGUAUCGGGAGAAUAAGCCCCGGCUAACUCCGUGCCAGCCGCCGCCGUAA